rnacentral:rRNA from 1 species
GACGAACGCUGGCGGCGUGCUUAACACAUGCAAGUCGAACGGAAAGGCCCUGCUUUUGUGGGGUGCUCGAGUGGCGAACGGGUGAGUAACACGUGAGUAACCUGCCCUUGACUUUGGGAUAACUUCAGGAAACUGGGGCUAAUACCGGAUAGGAGCUCCUGCUGCAUGGUGGGGGUUGGAAAGUUUCGGCGGUUGGGGAUGGACUCGCGGCUUAUCAGCUUGUUGGUGGGGUAGUGGCUUACCAAGGCUUUGACGGGUAGCCGGCCUGAGAGGGUGACCGGCCACAUUGGGACUGAGAUACGGCCCAGACUCCUACGGGAGGCAGCAGUGGGGAAUAUUGCACAAUGGGCGGAAGCCUGAUGCAGCAACGCCGCGUGCGGGAUGACGGCCUUCGGGUUGUAAACCGCUUUCGCCUGUGACGAAGCGUGAGUGACAGUAAUGGGUAAAGAAGCGCCGGCUAACUACGUG